UACGGGGGGGGGCAAGCGUUGUUCGGAAUUACUGGGCGUAAAGCGUGCACAGGCGGUUUUGUAAGUCUGUCGUGAAAUCCCCGGGCUCAACCUGGGAAUUGCGAUGGAGACUGCAAGGCUAGAAUCUGGCAGAGGGGGGUAGAAUUCCACGUGUAGCAGUGAAAUGCGUAGAGAUGUGGAGGAACACCGAUGGCGAAGGCAGCCCCCUGGGUCAAGAUUGACGCUCAUGCACGAAAGCGUGGGGAGCAAACAGG
rnacentral:rRNA from 1 species